AUGUCAAGUGGGACCUCGUUCGCGUCGAGCCAAGGGACCCGGAGCUCUAGGUCCGCUGAGGAUUGCCCGGACCUCCGGGCCCAGAUGGAGAAGAGGAGGAAGAGGAGGAAGGAGUCCAACCGGGAGUCGGCACGCCGAUCUAGGGCGAAGCAACAACACCUCGACGACCUCUCCUCGCAGGUGGAUCAGCUGAAGAACCAGAGCCAGCAACUGAGCAUGGUGCUGGGCAUGACCACCCAAAACCUUGUGGCACUGCAAGCACAGAACUCGGUGAUGCAGACACAGAAGAUGGAGCUGGAGAGCAGGCUGUGCGCCCUGGGCGAGAUCAUCUGCUGCAUGAACUCAAUCACCAACGCCGCGAACCCCGCCGCCGCCAUGGGCGCCACGGCAAGCGGUGCCUACGACAUUUUUGGCGCCGGCAGCACAUGGAGCCAGCCCAUAGACUUGUACCAGUGCUUCUAG
rnacentral:rRNA from 1 species